CUGUAAACGAUGAUUACUAGGUGUGGGGGGACUGACCCCUUCCGUGCCGGAGUAAACACAAUAAGUAAUCCACCUGGGGAGUACGGCCGCAAGGUUGAAACUCAAAGGAAUUGACGGGGGCCCGCACAAGCAGUGGAGUAUGUGGUUUAAUUCGAAGCAACGCGAAGAACCUUACCAGGUCUUGACAUCCGACUAACGAAGUAGAGAUACAUUAGGUGCCCUUCGGGGAAAGUCGAGACAGGUGGUGCAUGGUUGUCGUCAGCUCGUGUCGUGAGAUGUUGGGUUAAGUCCCGCAACGAGCGCAACCCUUGCUAUUAGUUGCUACGCAAGAGCACUCUAAUAGGACUGCCGUUGACAAAACGGAGGAAGGUGGGGACGACGUCAAAUCAUCAUGCCCCUUAUGACCUGGGCUACACACGUACUACAAUGGCCAUCAACAGAGGGAAGCAAAACAGCGAUGUGGAGCAAACCCCUAAAAAUGGUCUCAGUUCAGAUUGCAGGCUGCAACCCGCCUGCAUGAAGUCGGAAUUGCUAGUA
rnacentral:rRNA from 1 species